GUGCCAGCCGCCGCGGUAAUACCGGCAGCCCGAGUGAUGGCCGAUAUUAUUGGGCCUAAAGCGUCCGUAGCUGGCCGAACAAGUCCGUCGGGAAAUCCACUCGCUUAACGAGUGGGCGUCCGGCGGAAACUGUGCGGCUUGGGACCGGAAGAUCCAAGGGGUACGUCCGGGGUAGGAGUGAAAUCCCGUAAUCCUGGACGGACCACCGAUGGCUAAAGCACCUUGGAAGGACGGAUCCGACAGUGAGGGACGAAAGCUCGGGUCUCAAACCGGAUUAGAAACCCCUGUAGUCC
rnacentral:rRNA from 1 species